AAGUAAGAGUUGGGUGAGCGUUGCUUUUGGAAAUUCUCCUUGGGCGCCUCAACCUUAACACUCAUAUCCACACCCUUGUGCACCGUGAUGUCUCUGGCAGUUUUCAGGAAGCGCGCAAGGUUUAUAGUUGUUAAGCCUGCAUUCGUUUUCCGGGGCUGCCAGCUGUUUUUAACAAACCCAUUUGAUUUUAACUUGAGCCUAAAUUUGUUUCCUAUUGCAAAAUUUGCAUCAA
rnacentral:misc_RNA from 1 species